GAUAAUUUGGUAGUGGAAAUAACACUAAUUAGUGCCCUUUAAAGGGCUGAUCAUCAUAGCUUAAAACGGAUGAACGAGAACAAGAAAAAACGGGAAAAGUUGCGCGUCGUCUUCUCCAGACCCCCACCCCCUCUCGACUUCAUCUUCUACAUGACCCCCCCUCGGUUCUGAAACUUCUUCUUCGAACCAGCAACAACCAAAAGAAACGACCCCACGCCUCACCCUUUAGUUCUGCUACUCCGGCGAGUGGCUGGAAACCAACGACACACAACCAACUCCUCCAUAGCUGCCGAGCUCCACCACCACCAUAGCAUCCCCUCCCCCCGUCGACGAACACAGCCAUAUACACACAGAAACGAGAAACAGAGAGAACAAGAGCAGGAAGGAGGCAGCGAGUUUCACUCCAAGAUCGAGUGAACGUUAGCUCCGAGCUUGGGUGUCGAGUUUCUCGGUAUCAUUUUGAGGUUCCGUCGAGGUCAUCGGAAAAUGUUCCAUUUGUCGCCUAUUUAGUGUUCCAGUCGAAGGUUUCGUUUUCAAUUUCCAGUAACCUGUAUUGCCGAGAUUGUGAAUUGGUUCGAGUUUGUCGCUAUUUGGAGGUUCUUUGAUCGCCGAAGAGGUUCCGCUACGUUCUCUGCUCAAGCUUAGGUUGCCGGCCAAAUUUCUGGUUUUUUGUGAGAGUUACAGGUUGAAUUUUAAUGAAAACGAUGUCACAUUAACCACAUUACAGGUGAGAAUUUUAUCAUUCAAAUUUGAUGCCUUUUGUUGCGUUAAUUGGUUAUUUUCUGCAUGCCUGUGUAUAUCUUAAUUUCUUGGUUGACUUUGAAACUUGGAAUUCCAAUUUGAUCACUUUUAUGAUAAUUAAUGGUAACAGUAAUGCAUUCGGGUCUUAAAGACUUGGUAUUGUAAAAUUUGUUUCCUUUAUCAAUAUAAUCAUAGCAAAUUCAGUUAGUUCCCAUUGAGCUAGUAUACUCUAGGCGCGUAUUAACCAAUCAACCAUCGUGAUUGUGUACACGUUUGCGUGACAUGAUUAUGAUCUUAAAAACAAAAUCGGAGUAUGCGUUCGCGCAACUUUGGCUAAAUUUUUCUUAAUAAUAAUAAAGCGUUAUUAAUUGUGGACACGUUCGCGUGACAUGAUUUUUCACGUGCCAAACAAACGGGUACACGUACGCGUGACCCGUUUCAAGAUAAUAUUCUUAAUUUAAAAGCGAUUAAAGUUAAAAUUGCACAUAGGUUCAAAUUAUUGUAAGUCAAACAAUUAAGCCGGAUAUAAUAGUUGAGCGACCGUGCUAGAACCACGGAACUCGGGAAUGCCUAACACCUUCUCCCAGGUUAACAGAAUUCCUUAUCCAGAUUUUUGGUUCGCAGACUGUAUCACAGAGUCAACCGUUCCUCGAUUCGGGAUUUUAAACCGGUGACUUGGGACACUAUAAAUCUCCCAAGUGGCGACUCUGAAUUUAAUGUAAAUAAUCCCGUUUCGAUUGUCCUUUAAUUGGAAAAAUUCCCUUAUACUUAUACACUCCUCCCAGAGGAUGUAGGUAAAAAGGAGGUGUGACAGCUCUGCAACUCUGCUGGGGAACCGAACCCAGAAUCUCUGGUUCAGGGUUCAAGAAUUUGAGUUUAGAAUAAUUGUUAUAUUUGGCUUUAUUUAUUAUCUAAUUUUUUUUCAUGUUUGGGCCUAAUAUGCUAAAUGUUGCUUUUUACCGCUUUGAUAUUAUCUGAACUAUAUAUAUAAACUGUUACGAAACCCUUCUUCUUUCCGAGUCUUCUAAAUUUAUGGUGCACACGUGCACGUGGCCCACCUUUCUGUUAGAAGUGAUACCAAAUAGAACGAAGUUGGGCCAAGUAACUAGGCCGGGUAGACUUUCGUGUUCCCGGUACGUUGCCCCCACUUCGGCUCAAGCUGUCCGGUUGGGUAAGCCAGGUCUAGAACAGUAUACCCCAGGUUUUACACUUAGAAUAACUCAGCUUCAUGCUGGAUCCCUAGUAGGAACGUUUGUUUGCAUCAUGUGCAUUUGACUUCGGAGACUCAACACAGGGGUUGGGUCUAUCUAGGACAGGUGCACCCGAAAUGAAAAGACCAUCCUAAUGCAUCUUACUUGCUACUUGUGCAUUCAUUUGUUUCAGAUUUGCAUGUUGACCAGCUUAUAGGGAAAAGUUAGAAAAGGAGAAUCAAUGUGAGAACCGAGAAAGAAAAUUGGCUGUUUUCGAAAAAAAAUAAUUUCCAUAAUAUUUUGAAAUUUUGAAAAGAAAAGGAAAUGUCGUGUUUCUUUUAAAAAUGUUAUUACGAACUACGUAAGUUUGAUUCUCACCGGAUAUGAGAUACGUAGGCAACCCACAUCGGGCCCAACUAUUUAAAAAAAUAUAAAAAUAAAAAAUAAAUAGAUAAUUAAAAAUGUGGGUACAUAAAUUUCAUUGUGUUUUCAUAAGUAAGGCGAUGUCAUUCUUGUCCAAAAUAUGCCGAAUGUCCCCAAAAGGGCGCCGGAAGGCUGUUUUUUGCAAAAACAGCCGCCUUUGGUCGUUUUUAAAAAACAAAAUCGCCUGUUAGCAAAUACAGCCUUUAAAUCUUCUUCAUCGAAGUAUUUUUUUUAUAUAUAUAUGAAUUUAUUUUUAGAAAUAUUAAUGAUUUUUUCAAAAUGAGUCGUAAUUUUGGGUUUUUAAAUUAAAAAUCACUCACAGGUACAAAAUGAGCACCAUCCAGAACCCACCGUUCACAGAUGUAGAUGAGUUUCUAUUUCGGCUUCAGAUGUGGUGGUAUGAGUUAGGAGGAGAUGGUCAG
rnacentral:lncRNA from 1 species